UUGUGGUGAGGUAGUAAGUUGUGUUGUUGUUGGGGAUCAGUAUAGUAUGGCCCUUGAAGGAGAUAACUAUACAAUUUACUGCCUUCCAUAA
rfam:Danio rerio chromosome 23, GRCz11 reference primary assembly.